GAAAUCAUUUCGAAGAAUGUUGUUGAUAGUGGCUUAUCACUUAUAAGCUCUGUUUCUUCCAUGGCUUUGGGUUCUCAUGAAGUUUCCAUUUUGGUUGCUGGAUUUCCUCGGAAGGUGUCUACAGUUGCGAUUGCUGUAGGGGGAUUGGUAUCCUUCUUUGUUUUCGGAUUGGUGCUUGAUCCAAUCAGUUCCUCAGUUAGUGGGGUGUUUUAUGGCAAUGCGAAUCCUCAACAAGUUGAGAUCCCUUCGUCUUUGAGCAACAAUACCGUACAAGGCCUUUACACGAGUAACGACGACAUCUAUAAGUCAGAUAAGAACCUGACUUCUCAGUCUAGCUCAGGCUCUCCCGAUCUUGUUAGUUCAGAUAUAUCACCGCCAGAUUUGGAGAAACCUUUGAUGCAGCAAGAGAAAGGGGAUACAGUGUCUUCUUUGGAUACGAGUACGACUGGUGUUGGAUCAGGUGAAGGUGAAACCAAUGUUUCCAAGGCUGGAGACACUCCAAUUGUAUCAUCUCCUUCACAUGAUGCCUCUGAAACUACUUCAGCAGAAACAGAGUGUGAUUUGUAUCAAGGUAGCUGGUUUUAUGAUCCGGGAGGACCUCUGUACACGAACAACUCUUGCCCCGUCCUGACGCAGAUGCAGAACUGCCAGGGCAACGGAAGACCUGAUAAGGGAUAUGAGAACUGGAGAUGGAAACCGUCACAGUGUGACCUUCCUCGGUUUGAUGCCAAGAAAUUUCUCGAGCUAAUGAGAGGCAAGACAUUGGCCUAUAUAGGUGAUUCAGUAGCUCGAAAUCAGAUGGAGUCCAUGUUGUGUCUUCUUUGGCAGGUCGAAACACCGGAGAAUCGUGGGAAUAAAAAGAUGCAGAGAUGGUUUUUCAACUCAACAUCGGUGACGAUUGUCCGUAUCUGGUCAUCUUGGCUUGUCCAUCAGUUCAACGAAAAAUUCGACUAUGCUCCUGAAGGUGUCAUUAAACUUAACCUGGACGUUCCUGAUGAGCGCAUCAUAGAAGCUCUUCCGAGUUUCGACGUGGUAGUCCUGUCAUCAGGUCACUGGUUUGCAAAGCAGUCUGUCUACAUAUCAAAGGGCGAGAUCGUUGGAGGGCAGUUGUGGUGGCCAGACAAAUCAAAGCCCAUGAAAGUCAAUAACGUGGAAGCAUUCGGAAUCUCAGUAGAAACAAUCCUAAAGUCCAUAGCUACGCACCAGAACUUCACAGGGUUGACCAUCGUGAGAACAUGGUCGCCUGAUCACUACGAGGGUGGUGCUUGGAACACAGGAGGCUCAUGCACGGGGAAAGAAGAACCUAUUCUACCCGGGAAGCUAGUGAAAAACGGGUUCACGGAGAUAAUGCACGAGAAGCAAGCGACAGGGUUUAACCGAGCAGUGGAUGGAGUUGAGGAUAGCUCAAAGGUGAAGUUAAAGCUGAUGGAUAUUACAGAGGCUUUCGGGUAUCGCCAUGAUGGUCAUCCGGGGCCGUACAGGAGUCUCGACCCAAACAAGAUCACUAAAAGGGGACCUGAUGGACGACCUCCGCCUCAGGAUUGCUUGCACUGGUGCAUGCCGGGACCGGUCGAUAUAUGGAACGAGAUGGUUUUGGAGCUCAUAAGGAGAGACUUUGAGGGCAAGAAAAUGAGAGACUCAUCAUCUUGAUUUGGUUUUGAACUCAAGGGAGAGAAUAUUACAGGAUCUUACACGUACUAAUCUGAUUCUUGAUUAGUGAUAUAAACCAGCUAUGAAGUCUCACUUGUAGAUUUGUACCACAUGUCCACCACCACGGUGAAGGCAGGCCUUAGAUUUUGGUUCCUCCGAUGAUCUCAUCUCUAGACCGAGUCAGUCUCGGGAGAGAUUCUGGUCCGAAGCUUUUGGUAACUGAGACUGAAUCUAUCUUAAUCCAUUACAGCUCAACAUGAUUAUUGCUAUGAACGCCACAUGCACAAAUAUAUGUAUAAUGUAUUCUCCCUAAUAUAUAUUUAUUAUUUAGUCGUAUUUUGAAAGACA